rnacentral:lncRNA from 1 species
UCCUCCAUUCCUCCCAUGCUCCCUCCACCAUCACCAUUAUGGGUCAGCAUCCUCAUAUCAAAGAAAACAUUUGGCCUUUGGUUUUUUGGGAUUGGCUUACUUCACUUAGCAUUUUAUUCUCUAACUCCAUCCAUUAUCUGAAAAUGCCAUGAUUUUAUUCGCUUUUAAUGCUGAGUAACAUUCCAUUAUUAUAUAUACCAAAGUUUCCCUAUUCAUUUAUCUACUGAAGGCAUCUGGGUUGGUUCCACAGUUUAGCUAUUGUGAAUUGUGCUGCUGUAAACAAUGAUGUGGGUGUGUCCCUGUCCUAUGCUGUUUUUUUAAGUCCUUUGGGUGUAAACUGAGGAGUGGGAUAGCUGGGUCAAAUGGUGGUUCCAUUCCAAGUUUUCGAAGGAUUCUCCAUAUUGCUUUCCUAUUGGCUACACCUAUUUGCAGUCCCACCAACAAUGUGUGAAUGUGCUUUUCUCCCCACAUCCUCUCCAACACUUAUUGUUGUUUGUAUUCUUAAUAGCUGCCAUUCUGACUGGAGUGAG